GGGAUUCCCUUAUGAGUCCUCCAUAGAGAACUGUUUCACUGGCAUACAGGACCACCACUACAACUUCCUGGAUGUUUUUUUGAGCUGAUUUUCUUCAGUACUUUAUAAAUGGCUCAAAACCUCAGCCAUUUAAGGGAGGUUUCUUGGAGCGCCUGCUUGCGCUCUUCAGCAUGUGGGACGUGGACGUGUGGGAGCCUGCAGCAGAGCUGUACUUCACAGUGCUUAUUGAUUACCUUACAGAGCUUGCUGAAGUACUCUUCACUCAGCCUCUGGAGCUCUACAGUGACCCAGCAGCCUUAGCCACCACAGUUCAGCGACUCCUCAA